GGAGGGACUGAUGCCUGCCCACUGGUAGGUGGGGCUGAUUCCUAUCCCUCUGGUGCGUGGGGCUUUGUCUCUGGGUGAGAUUAGGGACAGGUGUGCAUCAAUGGUCUUUAGGCAGCCUCUUUACUGAUGGGUAGGGGGUGGGAUCCCACCUGGAUUGUUGUUUGGCCUGGGGAUUCUCAGCACUGAUGGGUGGGACUAGAUUUUCCCAAAAUGGCUGCCUCCAGAGAAAGGCAUGCUGAUGAAUAUUCCCAAGAGCAUUGCUUCCAAUGUCCUUCCCCCACAACGAGCCACAUUCACCCCUGUUUCCAGGAAGUCCUCCAAGAACUGCAGUCAGGUCUGACCCAGAUUCCUAUGGAGACCUUGCUUUGCCCUGGGACCCAGUGCACGUGAAAGUCUGUGCAUGCCUUUUAAGAAGGGGUCUCCAUUUCUCCCAGUCCUGUGGAGAUCCUGCACACAAGCCGCACUGGCUUUCAAUGCCAGAUGCUCUGGGGGCUCUUUCUCCCAGUGCCAGACCCCCACACGUGGGAGUUUGAUGUUGGGCUCAGAACUCUCACUGCUGUAGGUGAGUCUCUGUGAACCAGUUACUUUCCAGUCUGUGAGUCUUCCCACCCAGGAGGUAUGUGGUUGUUUAUAUCAUGUAAUUGCCCCUCCUAACUCUUGAUGUGGCCUCCUCUUUGUCUCCUGGAGUAGGAUAUCUUUUUGAAAGUUUCUGGUCCAUUUGGUUGACGUUUGCUCAGUAUUUGGUUGUAAAUUUUAUUGUUUUUAGGAGAGAAUUUGAGCUCCAGCUCUUUUAUUCUUCCAUCUUAAUCCCAUCCUAUUUCUAUAAUUUUAAUGAAGAGCAACUCUGAAAGACUAUAGUUUAAAAUAAUACACUUUAUUUCUAAAUUGUUUUUGGCUUUUUUAGGGCUGCUUCUGUAGCAUAUGGAGUUUCCCAGGCUAGGGGUCGAAUCAGAGCUAUAGCUGCUGUCCUACACCACAGCCUCUGCAACAUGGGAUCCAUGCCUAGUCUGUGACCUAUACCACAGCUAAUGGCAAUGCCAGAUCCUUAACCCACUGAGCAAGGCCAGGGAUCAAACCCACAUCCUCAUGGAUACUGGUUGGGGCCAUUAACACUGAGCCACAUUGUGAACUCCUCUUUCUGAAAAUUUUUAAACUUUUACUUGUUAUACUAAAAUAAUUAAAAUUACUAAAAUACAAUUUUUAUAGCUAAUUAUAAUCUGGAAAUGCAAUAAUAAGUAAUUGGUAGGCUUAUCGGUUUAGGUGCAUGGACUUAUAUGGGAGCAAGCAGAGAGAGGAUAGAGAAGAGGGAUAUCCUUUGCCAUAAAAAAGACUGAAAAGGAAAUUUGAUUAGAACUGAAAAUCACUCUGUGUACCAUGUGUUUCCACCAAAAUGAAUAGUCUCUAUCUUUAUAUAGAAUGACAUAUUAAUUUUUGACUUUUUAAAUCCAAUGAUUUCUUUUCUAGAUUAUAGAAGAAACCUAAAAACAUCUAUAUUAAAUCUAUCAGUCCAAUAAAGGAAAGUUAAUAAACUACCAGAAGGAUUUGAGGGGAAAAAUGAAUACAGCUAGAUUGAUUUUGGAGAUUAUCAAUGCCUUAUCUUAUUACCAAACCAACUUUUUAUCUAAAUGGGAAUAGUCUUCUUUUGUCCUUUCUGAAUAUCAGUCCUUUGGAUGAUAUGUGUCAUCACAUAUUUUCUUAAUGCUGUUAGAGCUUUUAUGGGCAUGUGGAUGUGGGAGGGACAAUAAGCAUUUGCAGAAAAUCUUCAUCUCGGUGACUUUUCUAGUGCCAUCUGGAUUCCUGCAUAUUCUCUACAUGUCUCUUCAGAAGAAGAAUUAGAUUAAAAAAAAAAAAAAAAAGAUAAAAGGAUGUAAACAGGCAAAGGGAAAGGAAACGCUCUCUUGUUCAACUCCCCCGGUCGAGCUGCUUCCUGAUUAAAAUACUAAUCUAUGGCACUUGGCCUGUGAAGUCCAUGCUGAGGCAUGAAAGAGUUUGGCAUGAUCAAAUGAGUCUAUCUUUUCUGCCUCCUUCUGUCAGCAGGAACUGAGCAAUCCAGCCUGGUGAUUGGAAGAGCACAUUUUCUUUGUCCUGCACAUGCUGUAUUUAUCCUUCACAAAUAUCCACACAACUCAGCAGGGAUUUGGCUGAGAGAGUAGGAUCACUCCUUGCAGAAAAACUGGUAAUAAAUCUGGGAGGCUUUGUACAAGAUCUGAAAGCUGCCUUCAGAAUUUGCCGGAGGAGGUGUGUAUAGCCAGGAGUAAGGAGAUUAUGUAAAGUACAGAGGAGAACUAGGCGAGCUUGACAGGGCAAGGACCAGGUCACAAUGCCCUCUGAAUAUUCUCUUAACAAGAGGGAGUUAGAGAUUUAGAUGGUGGUCUGAGUAUAUAACCUUUUCCUUCUACUACUGGGGGUUAAAUAGGAAGUUUGCAAGCUCUGUUUUCCCUUGAAAUAUUUAGACAUUUAAAGGACAUUUUCUCUCUCUUUCUUAGACAGCAUGCUUUUAAGGGCCGUUUCAAUUUUGUACUUUUACCUUAAGUAUGGCUCCAUGGUACUUAUUUUGAAUGUCCUCUAAAUUAUUCUUUUUUUUUUCUCCCAAUAAUUUGGAAAAUAUGCUUUGGAAAUGGGUUCUGGAAAUGAGAUUUCAGUGUGCUCAGAGGAAUACCUUCAUUUGCAUUCACCUGGAACGCUUAUUAAAAGGUGUUAGAAUCUGGCCAUCACCCCUCCCCACCAAGAAGAGAGAAUUUGAAUCCUCUAGUGUGGGGCUCUGAAAUCUGCUCUUUUAACAAAGACUCUCCAGUGGUUCUGAUACACACUAAUGCUGGGACCUGCUGUUUUAGAAAGUUAGUAGGAGGAUAGAUUGGCAAAGAGAAGACAGGGUGACAAGCUGUGAAAAUAAACAAACCAGGUGAAAUUUUUUUUUUCAACCAUUGUUUUGGCAUAGUGUGAGCAUAGCUAAAUAUAUACCAUGUUUGCUUUGGAAUGCUACUUUACCCAUAAUAUAUAUUCAUGAGGCUUUUUCUUAACAAACAUCAAUUUCAUAAAUAGGAAUGAAAAGUUUCUAAAUCUAAUUUGACUGAGUCUGGAAAACAGAACAAGAAAUCUCAUAGGGAACAUCUUUUUGUCUAACCUUACAAAGAGAAUCAUUGUUUCCUAUUUACUUUCCUCUUUAUCAAACACCUCUUCUAAUAUUGCAUUCUUGUAAAGCAUAGAUCGGGAAACUGAACCAGGCCCUCAGGGAGAGAGGAAAGCUAGGCCUAGAUGUUCUCAAAUAAAAUAUAUUAAUAUAAUGAUUAUAAAGGUGCUUUGAUGAGGAGAGAUACAUCAGGGAGUAUUUGGUUGGUAGGCCUCAAUAACUUUUAUUAAGUUAUUUGAAGGAAUAUUUACCAGUAACAAAAAUGUUUAUUCUUAAAUACACAUUUCUCUCCAUGGAUUUUCAAAAACCAUACCAGCUUCAUCAGACUUUUUCUCUCUGUUCAGGAAACAUAUGUUUUUGACUAUAGUAAACAUGGAAGUGAAUAUAAUAGUACCUACAAGAUAGAGAUUUUGGGAAAUGAGAAAAUAUUUCUCUAUUUCAAUUUUAGGAUUAAAGAAUGAAAUUCCCAGUAUGGAUAUGGACCUCACAUGUGGUGGUCCUUCUGCUAAAAUGAGCCUUCUGCUAAAAUUCUGUUAUUCAUUCACUAAGACAACCAAGAUUUCCUUUUGGAGAGUUGCAAGUAUAGUAAUGUUUCAGGUUGAAAAAAUUAGGGGAAACAGAUUAUUAGAUUAAUUAGAUAAUUAGAAAUAUCACAGCUGUACACUUUGACAGCACAUUUAGUAUCUUUGUGUUAAUGAAGCAGACCAUAAAUUCUCCAAAAAUGAAAUUUACAGAAAUGUUUAUUUAUCUGAUGUUUAUUGUGAAAGUUGAUUAAAAAAAAGACUCAUUCUAAGAAACUAGGCUCUUGUAGAUAGUAAUCAAGGGCUUGUUUUUAUAGUCUUCAUUUCAUAUUUCUUUAUUCAUAAUCAUACAAAAAAUGUAUUGUAUAUUUGUACUUUUUAUGCAUAUCUUUAGUUCAGUUGUAAGAUAUUUAUUACUGGCUUUCACAAUUGAACCACUAAUGAGGUGGUAGAAUUGUAGCCUUGUAUCUCUACUAAGCAAAAUACAAAUCAAAAAUCUUGUACUCUCAAAGGGAGUUGUUAUUUCUUUUUUCAUCUUCUUUUUUCUUUAUUAGGGCAUACAAGAUUAUUUUCUAAGAGAGCAGAUAUUAUUUUCUGCCAUUUAAAUAUUCUUUCAAAUAUCUUCCUAGUAAGGAAGAGAAUAUUUUCUCCUGUUGUCAAAAAGCACAGCUGUGAGUUUUUCUAAUUGCUCAAUUAAUAUAAUGAUAUACUUUCCCUAUCAUUAUCAACUAAUAUGUUUCAGCACCCAAGCUAUAUUCUUUACUGGAGCUUUCUUGUUUGUUUUUGAUAAUACUGACUUAUGAAAUUGUGAAGAUGCUUAUUAUAAUUUAGUAAUAUAGGCUCCAUAUUUUCUACUAUGAAUGUAUUGGCUUUUGAACCUGGAAAAAUGUUGCUUCGUGCAAAAUGUCUCAACUAAAAGUUACUUUAGUAUUUUCACCUUUGUUUGAAUUUCAUCAACUGCUUUCCUAGAAUUACAUAUGU
rnacentral:lncRNA from 1 species